UCUGUCGCCCAGGCUGGAGUGCGGUGGCGCCAUCUCCGCUCACUGCAAGCUCCGCCUCCCGGGUUCCCGCCAUUCUCCUGCCUCAGCCUCCCGAGCAGCUGGGAAUACAGGCGCCGCCACCUCGCCCGGCUAAUUUUUUUGUAUUUUUAGUAGAGACGGGGUUUCACCGUGUUAGCCAGGAUGGUCUCGAUCUCCUGACCUCGUGAUCCGCCCGUCUCGGCCUCCCAAAGUGCCGGGAUUACAGGCCUGAGCCACCGCGCCCGGCCGGCAGAAUUCUUUUUAGGGGAGGAAAAAUGAUUCAGCAAAGCAUGUAAGAAACCAUUUGGCCUUUCGGAAUGUUCGCCCUCAGAAUACGGCUUGAUAAGCCAGAAGGGAGAUGCAGAGACACGUCUCUGAGAGCUCAUGGGGGUGUUUAGGAAGGAGAGAGAAGGACGUCUGGAGAGAAAGAAGGGGCUCAGGAAAACGGCGGAAUGCUGGAGGCCACAUCAGAAAGCUCAUCAAUGCGGGGAGGAGCCGAGAGCAGGUAGGAGAAUAUCUGAUGUAAGCCACAAAGUUUUACUCACAAAUCGCACACCAGAAGUCUGGAGAUCAGCAGUCCCAGAGGUGGUUCAUGUACUGUUUCCACGGCGUCAGGGCCCAGGAUCAGCUGCUCUUGGCUUUCCUUUUACUGAUGCCAGCUCUGUGCAGCUGCAGCACGUAGCACCAAGUCCUCACAAGGCAACAUCCAAGCUAGGAGGUGGGGAGAGCUCUCUCCUUCUAUCACAGAGGAGUAUCUUUCCCCAAGUGUUCCAGAUCUCAGUUGAAUCACAUGCCUGCCUCAAAGGAGCAAAGAAGGAAUGAGAUUUCCAUGAUUCAUUUAGCUCAACCACGAUUCGUUCCUGGGCACUGGACAUCAAGCCAGAUGCGCCCAGAACACAACUGGCUUUCAGCUAGCAAGAGAGGUGUGGAAUGGAAUGGCUGUGAGGAAAGCAAACCAUGGCCUCUGUCACCCAAAUGCUCUCUGGACACUUCAGAAUGGGCAUUCAAAUGAUAAUACCAGCGCUCUGUAUCUCACAGCACUUCACAGUUUGCAAAGCGCUCAUGCACAGUGUUUCAUUCGAUUCUCGCCACCACCAUGUGAGAUGCAAGAACAGCUGUUCUUCUCCUUCUUUGGUAGAGAGGGAGACUGAGGACUGCAGGCAGUGAGUGAUUCACCCAUAAUUUUGCAGCUUCUCAGAGCUAGAAAUAGAACAAGGGCUUCCGACACGGACGUCCAAUAUCUUUUCUACAAUUCCUUCCAACGAGCACGUGUGGGAUAACACUGGCAGCUCAUAGAUGUAGUUGCCCUGUAAGUUCUGUGUGAAUUUCCUCCAUGGGAUGAUGCCCUGCAUGCUCCCAAUAGAUGUAGAGUGAUAGGUGCUGUGUGGCUUAGCAGAGGCAGCUGCGGAGGAGUGAGUGGUGAAGCAUUUUUACACAGACACGUCUUGUGCAAACUAAGCAAUGCCUGGACAGAGGAUGAUGUCCUGUGAUGAAGCAGCAGAUGGAGGCUGCAGAUGUGUGAAGGCUGUGUUCAGCCCACGUGGAAUCCAAGAGCUCCACAAGGCAUCGCGGCCGUCCAACUUCCUGUCAGAAUUGGCACCGAGACGAGCUCCAGCUCCUAGCUUACUCUUAAUUUAAACCAAAUAAGAGAGAGGAGAUGACUUGAAGGAAGCAUCUGGGUGCACGGACACCAGAGGAAAGCAGGAGAUUGAAGGCAGCGGGAGUUCCCAGGAUUUACAAACGGAUCCUCUUGUCAUUGCUUGCCAUCUGGUCCUGUGCCUGGUCCCCACCCCUCACAGUCAGCUGGAAAGCUGUCUGAUAAUGCGCUCAGGUGGGCUUCGCUAGCAGCAGUCUACGUUGGAAAGUAGUUCCUUUCUGGAAAGUAGUUUGGAAAUAUAUAUCAUGAUGCAUGAAAAUGUAAGACCCCUUAAACCGUGGACCCCAUUCUUGAGACUUCAUAUAAAAUAAAGGAAAUAACUAAAAUGAAGGUGGCCAGACAUGGUGGCUCUCAUCUGUAAUCCCAGCGCUUUGGGAGGCCGAGGCUGGCGGAUCACUUGAGGUCAGGAGUUUGAGACCAGCCUGGCAAACAUGGAGAAACCAACGUCUUUACUAAAAAUACAAAAGUUAGCCUGGCGUGGUGGUGUGCGCCUGUAAUCCCAGCUACUUGGGAGGCUGAAGCAUGAGAAUCACUUGAACCCAGGAGGUGGAGGCUGCAGUGAGCCAAGACUGCACCACUGUGCUCCAGCCUGGGCAGCAGAGAGAGACUCCAUCUCAAAAAAUAAAUUAAAAUAAUAAAAUAAAGAGAAAUGAAGGGAAAAAUCUGUGUGUAUGGUGAUGGCUGUUAUUUUGUUGUACAUAUGCAAGUGAAGAGGCAGAAGCAACCUAAACCUCCAACAGCAGCAACCCUGUGGUCUACUUAAUGGAAUCUAAGCCAUUGUUAAGAAGUAGAAUUAUGAGGAAGAUGAUGCAUUCAACAAAUGUUUAUUGAAUACCUCUAAUAUGCCAAGCACUGUAUUGAAGACCGAAACAGUGAACAAAGCAGCCCAAAUUCCUGCUUUCUCCCAGUAUGCUCUAGUGUGAAUGGCAAAGGAGAGCUGAUGCAACAAGAAAAGAGGUGAGGAUCCGAAUUAAGUGAAAAACACAGAGGAGAAAAAUUACACCUAGGACAUGACUCUUUCCAUGCAAUGUGUUCAAUUCCACGAACAAGGAUUGAAAGGAAACCAGGACAAAUAAAGACAGCUGAUGGAAUGAUGUGGCUCUGAACCAUUUUCUUUCCUUUACUGUUUUUCCAAUGUCUUUAGUGCAAUAUUUAAAAAGGAUCAAAAUAAGAAAAAUCAUCUGGUAUUUUUAGCAUGUACUCUCCUGUUUCAAAAAGAGGUAUAUUUAUCCAACUUUGUGGAAGCCAAAGAAAAUAUAUAAUAAAAACAUGUUUGUUGAAAGAAGGGAAGCCUGGGUGUGGUGGCUCAUGUCUGUAAUCUCAGCACUUUUGGAGGCUGAGGUGAGAGGAGUUUGCUUGAGUCCAGGAGUUCGAGACCAGCCUGGGCAACACAAUGAGAUCCCAUCUGUACAAAACAUUAAACAAUUAGCCAGGUAUGGUGGUGCAUGCCUGUGGUCCUAGCUACUUGGGAGGCUGAGGUGAGGACAGCUUGAGUCCAGUAGGUGGAGGCUGUAGUGAGCUGUGGUCAACUCACUGCACUCCAACCUGGAUGACAGAAGGAGGCCUGACCACCACCCCCAGAAAAAAGGAAGAAG
rnacentral:lncRNA from 1 species